AUUGAACGCUGGCGGCAUGCCUUACACAUGCAAGUCGAACGGCAGCACGGGUGCUUGCACCUGGUGGCGAGUGGCGAACGGGUGAGUAAUACAUCGGAACAUGUCCUGUAGUGGGGGAUAGCCCGGCGAAAGCCGGAUUAAUACCGCAUACGAUCUACUGAUGAAAGCGGGGGACCUUCGGGCCUCGCGCUAUAGGGUUGGCCGAUGGCUGAUUAGCUAGUUGGUGGGGUAAAGGCCUACCAAGGCGACGAUCAGGAGCUGGUCUGAGAGGAUGACCAGCCACACUGGAACUGAGACACGGCCCAGACUCCUACGGGAGGCAGCAGUGGGGAAUUUUGGACAAUGGGCGAAAGCCUGAUCCAGCAAUGCCGCGUGUGUGAAGAAGGCCUUCGGGUUGUAAAGCACUUUUGUCCGGAAAGAAAUCCUUGGCUCUAAUACAGUCGGGGGAUGACGGUACCGGAAGAAUAAGCACCGGCUAACUACGUG
rnacentral:rRNA from 1 species